GACGAACCGUGCGAACGUUGUUCGGAAUCACUGGGCUUAAAGGGCGCGUAGGCGGGCUGUCAAGUCUGGGGUGAAAUGCCGCGGCUCAACCGUGGAACUGCCUUAGAUACUGACGGCCUCGAGGAAGGUAGGGGCAUGCGGGAAGCUGUAGGUGGAGCGGUGAAAUGCGUUGAUAUCUACAGGAACUCCGGUGGCGAAAGCGGCGUGCUGGACCUUUUCUGACGCUGAGGCGCGAAAGCUAGGGGAGCAAACGGGGAUUAAGAA
rnacentral:rRNA from 1 species